UUGUGAAGGUGCUGUCGUCCUCAUCGUCUAUACCAAUCACAGCUCCCUGUGAAACAAAGAACAAAAUCCUGAUAAGGCAAGCAGUGACAUCAGCAGCCUACACUCUAUCACUACACCACUGGAAUUUAAAAGCACUGACAAAUUAAAAGCAAACUGAAUACAGUAAAGAGCAGAAAGAUUCUCUGUUUAAUCACACGAUGGAUACAAAAUUUCAGACUGCAGAAGCCCAUCUGUUCAGCUGCCAGUACCACUGUCAUCUGCCAGAGGAGCUCCUUUACAAAAGAAGAAAAGAGAAACACACAAAAAACCAACCCCACACACCAUCAGAGAAAGGAUGGGGGAGUCAGCCAAUCUUCAAAAAACUGCAAAGGGUAAUGAAAACACAGCCAUCUCUGGAGCCUUGUGAACAAGAUCUUCUUGCUGUCAUCCUCUGAAGCAUCCACUUCUUUUCAGCACUAUGUUAACAAUUUCAUCUAGGUAACAUAUUGAUGUGAUUAUGACCCUCUCUAUUGUCACUGAGGCCAUUAGGCAAUGACAUCUUAUUGGCAUCCAUGGAAAAAAAAAAGAGACAGGAACAAAAAGUACCUGUCUUCACAGCAAAAAAAAUAGUAUUUGUCUGCUACAUAUUUGAGAUACAGCUACAAGAAAAGCCUGAAGCAGUCACAGCAAGUACUAAUCACUAAAGAUAACUUGAAAAUACAGCAGUCAGAGCUUCAAAUCAUAUUUUUGCUGAUCUCUUGUUCAAUUCAGUCUAAUUUGUCAAAUGUGUCAGAGUUGUUUUCUGAAUGUUAGAAACCAUCAGUAUUAAUCUACUUGUUUUCACAACAACAUGGGUUAUCUGGUCAGAAUGAAAUGGAAGUAAAGACCAGCAGUGCAUCCAUAAUGUAUUCUACAAAUAUAUCAUUUCUUUGUAGAUUUCCUGACUGAAAACUUCUACAUAGGGAAGUUUUGGGUUUUUAAUUUUUUUUAUUUAAGAGCUCAAAACCAAUAAAGGAUCUGGAAACAAAGUUACUCCAUCAGA